AUUAACGGUAACAGUCCAUUGCUCCAAGAUUACCGUCAGUAUUAACAGUAACAAAACCGCCUUUCCCGGAUUACCGUCAGCAUUAACGGUAACAAACCGCCGCUCGUACUAUUUUAUUGAUGAUGUGAUCGCAAGGGCGUGAGGGUGCGCGACGUGUGCCCGUUGGCGGCACAGGCGCGCGCGGCCGCCGUUUAAUGGUUGGAGUUGGUGACCCCAGUGAAGAGAUGGCGGCUGCUGGAAUCGCUUCUCUUGAGGUCGAGCGGCCUGUGGCGAACUCUGGUUUAGAUCAAUCCUUCCCCGCGGAUCAAAGAUUAGAGAUGCAGCAGGUUGGCGAACUCGGGUCAAGGAACCGGAGUAAGAGCGCUGGAUCGUGGGAGAGGAAGACCGAGAAAAGCCCUGGAUCGUGGUGGAGGCGGACCGAGUGAAUCGUUACUAUUCCACUGAACUGAUGGCAAAUAUCUUCAUCAGACCUGAUACACACAAUUUAAAAAUUACUCCUGUUGGAAAUGCAAGAUGUUCAGAUUGAACCCUUUGUCUACUGUAAUGCCAUUUUGGUGAAUAUAAAGAAGGUGAUGACCGUUUCUACGUAUUCUGCUAGCUGUGUGAAGGAAUGCUCAGUCUUCGGUUGAUUCUUCAAUGAUUAUGACAAAGGUUGACAAAGGUGGCACUUUUCCUGGCAUCAGUCACAGAUAUUGAGCCUGAUUAUGAAGUCAGCUAUUAUACGCCCAAACCCUCUCCUCAACUGUAGACACCGGUCAAUCCUCAAUAUUCAGGAACUCAUCUGUGAGCUUGAUGGGGCUUCAUUUUAUCCCUGAAGCACUUACUAGUGGAUGUUCUGCAGAUUACAUCAAAAAAUGAGGACUGUGCUCGUGGACAGAUGAAAGUAACAACAGUGCUAAGCAUUUUUUGUCACAGGAUCAUUCCGAGGAAUUAGUGGUGCCUUCUACCAAAAUGAAAAGAUCAACCUUUCAGCAGGAGCUAAUUGAAACCAGUGAUAUAUCACUCUGAUGGAUUAUAAUUUAAUGCUAGAUUCACAUUGUUUAUACAGAUCCGUUGAGUGAAUUGCGAAUUUGAUGAAAAUGAGAAAUUGCAGUGAAACUCAGUUACAAAUUGUUUUCAAUACAGGCAAUAAAGUUAUUGCUUUUUAAA